UACGUAGGGUGCAAGCGUUGUCCGGAAUUACUGGGCGUAAAGAGCUCGUAGGUGGUUUGUCGCGUUGUUCGUGAAAACUCACAGCUUAACUGUGGGCGUGCGGGCGAUACGGGCAGACUGGAGUACUGCAGGGGAGACUGGAAUUCCUGGUGUAGCGGUGAAAUGCGCAGACUAGUCAGGAGGAACACCGGUGGCGAAGGCGGAUCUCUGGGCCUUACCUGACGCUCAGGUGCGAAAGCUAGGGGAGCGAACAGG
rnacentral:rRNA from 1 species